rnacentral:rRNA from 1 species
UACGGAGGGGGCUAGCGUUGUUCGGAAUUACUGGGCGUAAAGCGCGCGUAGGCGGACCUGCAAGUCGGGGGUGAAAGCCCGAGGCUCAACCUCGGAACUGCCUUCGAUACUGCGGGUCUCGAGUCCGGGAGAGGUGAGUGGAAUUCCUAGUGUAGAGGUGAAAUUCGUAGAUAUUUAGGAAGAACACCAGUGGCGAAGGCGGCUCACUGGCCCGGUACUGACGCUGAGGCGCGAAAAGCGUGG